CCACCUGCACCUUCUGCGGGAGGCAGGGAGGGAGGGAGGGAGGGUGGGCAGGAGUCCGCAAGCGGCACGCCCCAGCCUCCCCCCCUCCUUCCACCCAGAUGGUCCCGUGGAGCCCAAGGGCAGACCCCUCCUUGCAGAGUGACAGAGGCCACACUUGAGAGGCCCGCCGCCCACACCAGGGGCAGCUCGGGAAGCGCCCAGAUCCAGGCCCCAGGGUGGCGGCCGUCUGUUCACCCGCCCGCGGGGCUCAGCGGUUCUUUGCCUCCAGGAUGCAGACGGUGAGCUUCCCGGCCGUGGGCACGUAGCGCAGCGAGGUGCAGAUGUCGCCCAGCUUCUCCGGCUGCCAGGGGAGCGGGGUCCAGGUCAUCUCAGCAGCCGCCAGCACGGCUGACCCCUUGGGGCCUCGGCCAGGGGCAGCCCAGCCCUGCCUGUGGCGGGCAGACCCUGGAGCUGUGGGCACCGUGCCGGUGGGGCCCCGGAGGCUCUGAAUGGACGUGGGGUCCUCCCCGGGCUGAGCAGAGGGGGUAGGGCCCUCCCCUGUUCUGAUCACAGCCGUCCCGCCUGCAGCGUGCGAGGUGGUUUUCAGAGCCCCUGGUACCUCUCAUCUGGUGUUAGUGCCACAGGGCAGGGGCCUCGUGACCAGAGAGGAGGACGGUGGUCUCCGCCACUGCCAUGGCUCGGAGCCGAAGCGUCUCAGAGGUGGCCCCGGGGGCCAAGGCCGGCCACCUCCCCCGCACCCAGGGGCUGGGUGACAGUCAGCUGGUGCUCGGAGGGCAGUGUCUAAACGGAGGCUUUGUGCGCAGUGGGCGCUCACAGUCAGUGAGUGUGCAGCAAGUGCUGCAGCCGCUCCCAGGAAGACAAGCCCCCUGCUGAGAACCCGCUCAGACAGCGUGGGCCUUCCCGGCGGGCACACAAGGCCCCAGGUCCCGCCACUCCUCGAUGGGCUGCCCCAGGUCCACCGUGUUCAUGGGCACCUUCACCUCACCGAUGAUGUCGUGCUUGGAGAAGCGGUCAAAGUCGUAGAUGGCCAUCACCAGGGUCUUGCCACCCAGCUCCUGGAGGAAGACCUUGACGUAAGGGUCCGAGGUGCCGCCCAUAUCCAGGGCGGGCAGUUCCGCGGCUUGCAGGACGCCCACAGUGAGCUGUGAAGACAGCGGGCACCCGUCAGCCCCCCAGGCCCCAGGGAACCGCGUGACCCCGGGAGGUGGUGACCCGCCUGAGGCCGGCACAGCACCCGGGCCUUCCCUGGAGCCGGCCCGUGUCCCCGCCCCCCACCUGGUUG